rnacentral:rRNA from 1 species
GGGUUGUGAGGUUAAGCGACUAAGCGUACACGGUGGAUGCCCUGGCAGUCAGAGGCGAUGAAGGACGUGCUAAUCUGCGAUAAGCGUCGGUAAGGUGAUAUGAACCGUUAUAACCGGCGAUUUCCGAAUGGGGAAACCCAGUGUGUUUCGACACACUAUCAUUAACUGAAUCCAUAGGUUAAUGAGGCGAACCGGGGGAACUGAAACAUCUAAGUACCCCGAGGAAAAGAAAUCAACCGAGAUUCCCCCAGUAGCGGCGAGCGAACGGGGAGCAGCCCAGAGCCUGAAUCAGUGUGUGUGUUAGUGGAAGCGUCUGGAAAGGCGCGCGAUACAGGGUGACAGCCCCGUACACAAAAAUGCACAUGCUGUGAGCUCGAUGAGUAGGGCGGGACACGUGGUAUCCUGUCUGAAUAUGGGGGGACCAUCCUCCAAGGCUAAAUACUCCUGACUGACCGAUAGUGAACCAGUACCGUGAGGGAAAGGCGAAAAGAACCCCGGCGAGGGGAGUGAAAAAGAACCUGAAACCGUGUACGUACAAGCAGUGGGAGCACGCUUAGGCGUGUGACUGCGUACCUUUUGUAUAAUGGGUCAGCGACUUAUAUUCUGUAGCAAGGUUAACCGAAUAGGGGAGCCGAAGGGAAACCGAGUCUUAACUGGGCGUUAAGUUGCAGGGUAUAGACCCGAAACCCGGUGAUCUAGCCAUGGGCAGGUUGAAGGUUGGGUAACACUAACUGGAGGACCGAACCGACUAAUGUUGAAAAAUUAGCGGAUGACUUGUGGCUGGGGGUGAAAGGCCAAUCAAACCGGGAGAUAGCUGGUUCUCCCCGAAAGCUAUUUAGGUAGCGCCUCGUGAAUUCAUCUCCGGGGGUAGAGCACUGUUUCGGCAAGGGGGUCAUCCCGACUUACCAACCCGAUGCAAACUGCGAAUACCGGAGAAUGUUAUCACGGGAGACACACGGCGGGUGCUAACGUCCGUCGUGAAGAGGGAAACAACCCAGACCGCCAGCUAAGGUCCCAAAGUCAUGGUUAAGUGGGAAACGAUGUGGGAAGGCCCAGACAGCCAGGAUGUUGGCUUAGAAGCAGCCAUCAUUUAAAGAAAGCGUAAUAGCUCACUGGUCGAGUCGGCCUGCGCGGAAGAUGUAACGGGGCUAAACCAUGCACCGAAGCUGCGGCAGCGACGCUGAUGCGUUGUUGGGUAGGGGAGCGUUCUGUAAGCCUGCGAAGGUGUGCUGUGAGGCAUGCUGGAGGUAUCAGAAGUGCGAAUGCUGACAUAAGUAACGAUAAAGCGGGUGAAAAGCCCGCUCGCCGGAAGACCAAGGGUUCCUGUCCAACGUUAAUCGGGGCAGGGUGAGUCGACCCCUAAGGCGAGGCCGAAAGGCGUAGUCGAUGGGAAACAGGUUAAUAUUCCUGUACUUGGUGUUACUGCGAAGGGGGGACGGAGAAGGCUAUGUUGGCCGGGCGACGGUUGUCCCGGUUUAAGCGUGUAGGCUGGUUUUCCAGGCAAAUCCGGAAAAUCAAGGCUGAGGCGUGAUGACGAGGCACUACGGUGCUGAAGCAACAAAUGCCCUGCUUCCAGGAAAAGCCUCUAAGCAUCAGGUAACAUCAAAUCGUACCCCAAACCGACACAGGUGGUCAGGUAGAGAAUACCAAGGCGCUUGAGAGAACUCGGGUGAAGGAACUAGGCAAAAUGGUGCCGUAACUUCGGGAGAAGGCACGCUGAUAUGUAGGUGAAGUCCCUCGCGGAUGGAGCUGAAAUCAGUCGAAGAUACCAGCUGGCUGCAACUGUUUAUUAAAAACACAGCACUGUGCAAACACGAAAGUGGACGUAUACGGUGUGACGCCUGCCCGGUGCCGGAAGGUUAAUUGAUGGGGUUAGCCGCAAGGCGAAGCUCUUGAUCGAAGCCCCGGUAAACGGCGGCCGUAACUAUAACGGUCCUAAGGUAGCGAAAUUCCUUGUCGGGUAAGUUCCGACCUGCACGAAUGGCGUAAUGAUGGCCAGGCUGUCUCCACCCGAGACUCAGUGAAAUUGAACUCGCUGUGAAGAUGCAGUGUACCCGCGGCAAGACGGAAAGACCCCGUGAACCUUUACUAUAGCUUGACACUGAACAUUGAGCCUUGAUGUGUAGGAUAGGUGGGAGGCUUGGAAGUGUGGACGCCAGUCUGCAUGGAGCCGACCUUGAAAUACCACCCUUUAAUGUUUGAUGUUCUAACGUUGACCCGUAAUCCGGGUUGCGGACAGUGUCUGGUGGGUAGUUUGACUGGGGCGGUCUCCUCCUAAAGAGUAACGGAGGAGCACGAAGGUUGGCUAAUCCUGGUCGGACAUCAGGAGGUUAGUGCAAUGGCAUAAGCCAGCUUGACUGCGAGCGUGACGGCGCGAGCAGGUGCGAAAGCAGGUCAUAGUGAUCCGGUGGUUCUGAAUGGAAGGGCCAUCGCUCAACGGAUAAAAGGUACUCCGGGGAUAACAGGCUGAUACCGCCCAAGAGUUCAUAUCGACGGCGGUGUUUGGCACCUCGAUGUCGGCUCAUCACAUCCUGGGGCUGAAGUAGGUCCCAAGGGUAUGGCUGUUCGCCAUUUAAAGUGGUACGCGAGCUGGGUUUAGAACGUCGUGAGACAGUUCGGUCCCUAUCUGCCGUGGGCGCUGGAGAACUGAGGGGGGCUGCUCCUAGUACGAGAGGACCGGAGUGGACGCAUCACUGGUGUUCGGGUUGUCAUGCCAAUGGCACUGCCCGGUAGCUAAAUGCGGAAGAGAUAAGUGCUGAAAGCAUCUAAGCACGAAACUUGCCCCGAGAUGAGUUCUCCCUGACCCUUUAAGGGUCCUGAAGGAACGUUGAAGACGACGACGUUGAUAGGCCGGGUGUGUAAGCGCAGCGAUGCGUUGAGCUAACCGGUACUAAUGAACCGUGAGGCUUAACCUUACAACGCCGAAGGUGUUU